ACCAAUAUUACUGUGCUGCUUUA
rnacentral:miRNA from 1 species